rnacentral:lncRNA from 1 species
GACCUGCAGAGGUGAGGAAGAGGGGAGACAGAUCCUAGACCUGCAGAGGUGAGGAAGAGGGGAGACAGAUCCUAGACCUGCAGAGGUGAGGAAGAGGGAGAGACAGAUCCUAGACCUGCAGAGGUAAAGAGCAGAUCUCUGCAGCCCAGAUCAAGAUCCUAAAGAAACACUCUGAAGCUCUUCAGGUCUCCCCCAUCUCUCCCUCCACCCCUCUCUCCCCCUCUCUCUCUGUAAUCCCCACUCUCUCUCUCUCAACCCUCUCUCUCUCUCUCUCUUCUCCUCUCUCUCUCUCUCUGUAAUCCCGCCUCUCUCUCUCUCUAAUCCUCUCUCUCUCUCUGUAAUCUCUCUCUCUCUCUAAUCCUCUCUCUCUCUCUCUAAUCCACUCUCUCUCUCUCUCUGUAAUCUCCUCUCUCUCUCCCUCUCUCUGUGUAAUCUCCUCUCUCUCUCUCUAAUCUCCUCUCUCUCUCCUGUAAUCUCCUCUCUCUCUCUCUGUAAUCUCCUCUCUCUCUCUGUAAUCUCCUCUCUCUCUCUCUGUAAUCUCCUCUCUCUCUCUGUAAUCUCCUCUCUCUCUGUGUAAUCUCCUCUCUCUCUCUGUAAUCUCCUCUCUCUCUCGUGUAAUCUCCUCUCUCUCUCUCUGUAAUCUCCUCUCUCUCUCUGUAAUCUCCUCUCUCUCUCUCUGUAUUCUCUCUCUCUCUCUCUGUAAUCUCCUCUCUCUUAUCUUCUCUCUCUCUCCCCCCCUCUCUCUCUCCUCCCUCCUCUCUCAGGCCUUGUAGUCCUGGUCUGAAGCUCCUUGUUCCUGUUAAUCUCCAAAACAUUGUUUGCUCUUUAUCUUUUGUGGAGCAGUUUGUUUUUAAAAGAAAUAUUUCCAAACCGUUUUAAUCUGGUUUUGAUGACAAAAACACGUUUUUGCUAAUUAAAUUCCCCCAGGAUAUCUUGCCUCUUCCUCCUGUCUGCUGGCCUCUUCUUCCUCUGUCCCCUCCUUCCUGUCUCUCUCCCAACUGUGUGUCUAUUUUAUAUAGUUUCAAACACUUUCUUUCUCACACUUGGGAGAGAGAGAGGGAAGGAAGGGGAGAGAGAGAGGGAAGAAAGGGGAGAGAGGGAAGGAAGGAAGGAGAGAGGGAAGGAAGGAGAGAGGGAGGAGGGAGGGAAGGAUGGAAGGAGAGGAAGAGAGAGAGAGAGGAGGAAGGAAGGAGAGAGGGAAGGAAGGGGAGAGAGGGAAGGAAGGGGAGAGAGGGAAGGAAGGGGAGAGAGGGAAGGAAGGGGAGAGGGAGGAAGGAAGGGGAGAGAGAGAGGGAAGAAAGGGGAGAGAGGGAAGGAAGGAAGGAGAGAGGGAAGGAAGGGGAGAGGGAGGGAGGAGGGAAGGAAGGAGGAGGGAAGGAAGGAGAGAGAGAGAGGGAGGAGGGAGGGAAGGAUGGAAGGAGAGGAAGAGAGAGAGAGAGAGGAGGGAAGGAAGGAGAGAGGGAGGGAUAUGGGCACUUUUCGGAAAAAGCGGUGUUCAAGCAGGGGUUAACUGAUGAAUAGACAAACAUGACUUAUUAUUUUCCUUUCGAUCUUUUUAGCAGUCAAACAUUGAAAUUAAAAUUUGUAUUGAAAUGUUAAGUCUGUUGGUUAAUUACUUGGAGGAGGAGAGGAGAGGAAGGCUUCAGUGUUACAGCAUCUUCUACACAUUUGGUCUGAGAAGUUCCAUCGGGGCUCCCAGCUGAUCUGUGAUCGCUUGCUCUCCCCUGGCCUUCCAUCCACGUUCCACUUCCUCUUCCUCUUCCUCACGCCUUACGGUCAAUGUUUCUUCUUGCUUGUUUUGAAUAAAGGAAGUCUUUUAAAAAAAAUAAAACAGUUUAGGAGAGAAAAAUAAAAGUACUGCAUUUCUCUUUUCCAAACUUGCCAGUUUCAUUUCUAUAUUUUAGUCGGAAAGCGUUUUUUUUUCCAUUCUG